rnacentral:rRNA from 1 species
UUAGGAAUAUUGGACAAUGGGCGCAAGCCUGAUCCAGCCAUGCCGCGUGAGUGAUGAAGGCCUUCGGGUUGUAAAGCUCUUUAGUCCACGAAUAUAAUGACUGUAGUGGAAGAAUAAGCCCCGGCUAACUUCGUGCCAGCAGCCGCGGUAAUACGAAGGGGGCGAGCGUUAUUCGGAAUCACUGGGCGUAAAGCGUGCGUAGGCUGUUUUGUAAGUCAGAAGUGAAAGCCCAGGGCUUAACCCUGGAAUUGCUUUUGAAACUACAAGACUCGAAUUCGGGAGAGGAUAGCGGAAUUGUCAGUGUAGCAGUGAAAUGCGUAGAUAUUGACAGGAACACCAGUGGCGCAAGCGGCUAUCUGGACCGAUAUUGACGCUGAGGCACGAAAGCGUGGGGAGCAAACA